CACAUCAUUCGCAGGAGACAGCAGCGACAUGCUCGUUUACGGCAUCUCCUUUGUGCGAUUUCCCUCGCGCACGUGUUUGCUACGCGACACCAGCGGCAGAUCUGUGCCCCGAUCCUGAAAAGGAACUUGAUAGGCAGCGCACAAAGCCAACUGCGGUUCAACCUUGGGGGCCCAUCGGGGUGUUUUUUGCGCAGCCGCCGGGCUUUGGAGCACGUGAGCGCGCCAAGGUACAGUUUGCGCCGCGACCGCCAAGCGGCCACCGGAUGCAAUGCGUCCAAGCUCGAACAGAAUGCUCCAGGCAGUCUGCGUGCUCAUCUUUCUGUUAUUGGCGCCGACGACUGUUCAAUGUGAUAGGCCUUCCAGUGGAACCAUACGUGCCACCAUCGUACACGAAAAAUCUACGAGAAAUAAGACAUGUUCCAAUUGAAUAAGCUGAAGACCAACUACUUGACUACUUACAAGACAGCGGCGUCAUUUCCGUCAAGACGCAAACCAGAUGGCUCCGGCGAGAAGAUAGAGCAGUGGAACCACAUGCACCUGCGAGCGUCAUCCUACAAUUCUUGCCUGACAAACCAUUGCCAACACGCGUUCUAUUUGGAUUCCCGAGUCCUACAAUAGAAGUAUAUUUAGAACCUCGAA